rnacentral:rRNA from 1 species
UGCGCCACCACUGACACGGAACAACGGCAAACACGCCGCCGGGUCAGCGGGGUUCUCCUGAGAAUUCCGACAGAGAAAGCAAAAAUAAAUGCUUGACUCUGUAGCGGGAAAGUGUAUUAUGCACACCCCGCGCCGCUGAGAAAAAGCGAAGCGGCACUGCUCUUUAACAAUUUAUCAGACAAUCUGUGUGGGCAUUCGAAGAUACGGAUUCUUAACGUCGCAAGACGAAAAAUGAAUACCAAGUCUCAAGAGUGAACACGUAAUUCAUUACGAAGUUUAAUUCUUUGAGCAUCAAACUUU